UGCAAGUCGGACGGGAUUUAAGCUAAAGCUUGCUUUAGCUUAAUGAGAGUGGCGCACGGGUGCGUAACGCGUGAGCAACCUACCUCUAUCAGGGGGAUAGCCUCUCGAAAGAGAGAUUAACACCGCAUAACAUCAACAGUUCGCAUGUUCAGUUGAUUAAAUAUUUAUAGGAUAGAGAUGGGCUCGCGUGACAUUAGCUAGUUGGUAGGGUAACGGCUUACCAAGGCGACGAUGUCUAGGGGCUCUGAGAGGAGAAUCCCCCACACUGGUACUGAGACACGGACCAGACUCCUACGGGAGGCAGCAGUAAGGAAUAUUGGUCAAUGGGCGGAAGCCUGAACCAGCCAUGCCGCGUGCAGGAUGACUGCCCUAUGGGUUGUAAACUGCUUUUGUCCAGGAAUAACCGCAGGUACGUGUACCUGUCUGAAUGUACUGGAAGAAUAAGGAUCGGCUAACUCCGUGCCAGCAGCCGCGGUAAUACGGAGGAUCCGAGCGUUAUCCGGAUUUAUUGGGUUUAAAGGGUGCGUAGGCGGCCUGUUAAGUCAGGGGUGAAAUACGGUGGCUCAACCAUCGCAGUGCCUUUGAUACUGAUGGGCUUGAAUCCAUUUGAAGUGGGCGGAAUAAGACAAGUAGCGGUGAAAUGCAUAGAUAUGUCUUAGAACUCCGAUUGCGAAGGCAGCUCACUAAGCUGGUAUUGACGCUGAUGCACGAAAGCGUGGGGAUCGAACAGGAUUAGAUACCCUGGUAGUCCACGCCCUAAACGAUGAUAACUCGAUGUUGGCGAUAGACAGCCAGCGUCUUAGCGAAAGCGUUAAG
rnacentral:rRNA from 1 species